ACAUCCGAUAAAAUUGGAACGAUACAGAGAAGAUUAGCAUGGCCCCUGCGCAAGGAUGACACACACAAAUCAAGAAAUGGUCCAAAUUUUUUAAGAUUUUGCGCGCUGGUCCCUAAAUAUUUUACAGAUAUGCCCCUAGGGCUCCUUGUACCUCUGUGUCCUUUUUGUUUGUGA
rnacentral:rRNA from 1 species